GUUCUCACUUCAGCAGCACAUAUACUAAAAUUGAAACGAUACAGAGAAGAAUAGCAUGGCUCCUGCACAAGGAUGACACACAAGUUCUUGAAGUGUUUCAUAUUUUU
ensembl:snRNA U6 U6 spliceosomal RNA